rnacentral:rRNA from 1 species
CCCAGACUCCUACGGGAGGCAGCAGUGGGGAAUAUUGCACAAUGGGGGGAACCCUGAUGCAGCGACGCCGCGUGAGUGAAGAAGUAUUUCGGUAUGUAAAGCUCUCUCAGCAGGGAAGAAAAUGACGGUACCUGACUAAGAAGCCCCGGCUAACUACGUGCCAGCAGCCGCGGUAAUACGUAGGGGGCAAGCGUUAUCCGGAUUUACUGGGUGUAAAGGGAGCGUAGACGGUGAUGCAAGUCAGAAGUGAAAGCCCGCGGCUCAACUGCGGGACUGCUUUUGAAACUGUAUGACUGGAGUGCAGGAGAGGUAAGCGGAAUUCCUAGUGUAGCGGUGAAAUGCGUAGAUAUUAGGCGGAACACCAGUGGCGAAGGCGGCCUGCUGGACUGCGACUGACGUUGAGGCCCGAAAGCGUGGGGAGCAAACAGGAUUAGAUACCCCAGUAA